rnacentral:rRNA from 1 species
ACUGCCGGUGUUAAGCCGGAGGAACGGUGGGGAUGACGUCAAGUCCUCAUGGCCUUUAUGCCCAGGGCUACACACGUGCUACAAUGGGCGGUACAAAGAGAAGCAACCUCGCGAGGGUGAGCAAAUCUCAAAAGCCGUUCUCGGUUCGGAUUGAAGUCUGCAACUCGACUUCAUGAAGUCGGAAUCGCUAGUAAUCGCGGAUCAGCAUGCCGCGGUGAAUACGUUCCCGGGCCUU